GAUGAAGAACGCAGCGAAAUGCGAUAAGUAGUGUGAAUUGCAGAAUUCCGUGAAUCAUCGAGUCUUUGAACGCACAUUGCGCCCCCUGGUAUUCCGGGGGGCAUGCCUGUCCGAGCGUCAUUGCAACCCUCAAGCACGGCUUGUCUAAUGGGCGGUUCGUCUGCGGCCAUCCGCCGGAGACGCCCCCGAAAUGCAGUGGGGAUGUUCGCUAAAUCGCAGCGUCAGGAAUGGAAAUAAACAAUGCUGACGGCUCGAUGUCGAACGUCCACCUAAGGCGUGCCGCCCCCCCGGGGUGUGCCGCCCAACCUCUCUCGGUUGACCUCGGAUCAGGUAGGGAUACCCGCUGAACUUAAGCAUAUCAAUAAGCGGAGGA
rnacentral:misc_RNA from 1 species